rnacentral:rRNA from 1 species
UACGAAGGGGGCUAGCGUUGUUCGGAAUCACUGGGCGUAAAGCGCACGUAGGCGGAUUGUUAAGUCGGGGGUGAAAUCCUGAGGCUCAACCUCAGAACUGCCUUCGAUACUGGCAAUCUCGAGUCCGGAAGAGGUUGGUGGAACAGCUAGUGUAGAGGUGAAAUUCGUAGAUAUUAGCUAGAACACCAGUGGCGAAGGCGGCCAACUGGUCCGGUACUGGACGCUGAGGUGCGAAAGCGUGGGG